GACGUAGGGGGCGAGCGUUGUCCGGAUUUACUGGGCGUAAAGCGCGCGCAGGCGGCUCGUCAAGCCUGACGUGAAAGCCCCCGGCUCAACCGGGGAGGGUCGUCGGGGGACUGGCGGGCUUGAGGUCGGCAGGGGUUGGUGGAAUUCCCGGUGUAGUGGUGAAAUGCGUAGAGAUCGGGAGGAACACCCGUGGCGAAGGCGGCCAACUGGGCCGGACCUGACGCUGAGGCGCGAAGGCGUGGGGAGCGAACGGG
rnacentral:rRNA from 1 species